CCUACGGGUGACAGCAGUGAGGAAUAUUGGUCAAUGGACGAGAGUCUGAACCAGCCAAGUAGCGUGAAGGAUGACUGCCCUAUGGGUUGUAAACUUCUUUUAUAUGGGAAUAAAACGUUCCACGUGUGGGAUUUUGUAUGUACCAUAUGAAUAAGGAUCGGCGAACUCCGUGCCAGCAGCCGCGGUAAUACGGAGGGUCCGAGCGUUAUCCGGAUUUAUUGGGUUUAAAGGGAGCGUAGGUGGAUUGUUAAGUCAGUUGUGAAAGUUUGCGGCUCAACCGUAAAAUUGCAGUUGAAACUGGCAGUCUUGAGUGCAGGAGAGGUAGGCGGAAUUCGUGGUGUAGCGGUGAAAUGCUUAGAUAUCACGAAGAACUCCGAUUGCGAAGGCAGUUCACUGGACUGCAACUGACACUGAGGCUCGAAAGUGUGGGUAUCAAACAGGAUUAGAUACCCGUGUAGUC
rnacentral:rRNA from 1 species